rnacentral:rRNA from 1 species
GAUGAACGCUGGCGGCGUGCCUAAUACAUGCAAGUCGAGCGAACGGACGAGAAGCUUGCUUCUCUGAUGUUAGCGGCGGACGGGUGAGUAACGCGUGGAUAACCUACCUAUAAGACUGGGAUAACUUCGGGAAACCGGAGCUAAUACCGGAUAAUAUUUUGAACCGCAUGGUUCAAAAGUAAAAGACGGUCUUGCUGUCACUUAUAGAUGGAUCCGCGCUGCAUUAGCUAGUUGGUAAGGUAACGGCUUACCAAGGCAACGAUGCAUAGCCGACCUGAGGGGGUGAUCGGCCACACUGGAACUGAGACACGGUCCAGACUCCUACGGGAGGCAGCAGUAGGGAAUCUUCCGCAAUGGGCGAAAGCCUGACGGAGCAACGCCGCGUGAGUGAUGAAGGUCUUCGGAUCGUAAAACUCUGUUAUUAGGGAAGAACAUAUGUGUAAGUAACUGUGCACAUCUUGACGGUACCUAAUCAGAAAGCCACGGCUAACUACGUG